CAACGCGCAAGGAAGUGGAAAAUAUUGUCUGAAGUCCAUGAGAUCAAAUCAAUGACAAAGAGAAAAAAAGGAAAGGUAUAACUCAAUCUUACCUUUUAAAACUUACAAAUUUCUCUUUGACUGUAGAAAUGAGAAGUACAAAUCUCUCAUGAGGCUUAGCUUUCUCCUUUCAAAUUACAAAUAAAAAGUGAGGCUACGUAUUGUCCUUAUAAAUUGGAUUGGAUUAAGUUCUAUCCUUUCAAAAAGUAUUCGAGGCUAAGCUUUUCCUUUAGAAAUUGAUUGGGUUCAGCUCUACCCUUUAAAGAAGUGCAUGAGCUAAACAUUGUCCUCUAGACGCUGAAUGGGGUAAUCAUUGCUUUUUAAAAACAAAUAUGUUUUCGUAUCUCCUCUUGUUAUUUAUGUUCUCUAACAUUAUUAUUUCUUACCGCAUUGGCUAUACUUUUCUAUUUGUAAGAUACUAUAUUGCAUUGCCUAUUAUAUUGCAUUUGGCCUACUGAAAUUGCACUCAGCCUACUGAAAUUUUGUUGCUUACUUUAUUGUAUUUGGCAUAAUGAAGUUGUAUCGUCUGCUAUAUUGUAUUGCCUACUGAAAUUACAUUGCCCACUGAAAAUUGUAUUCGCUACUAAUUGUAUUUGGCCUACUGACAAUUGUAUUGCCUACUGACAAUUGUAUUGCCUAAUAAAUUGUAUUUGGCCUAUUGAAAUUGCAAUGCCUACUCUAUUCAAUUUGACCUACUAUAUUGCAUUGCCUACUGAAAAUUACAUUGCCUACUGAAGUUCUAUUGCUACUGAAAAUUGCAUUUGACAUACUAUAUUGCAUUGCUUACUGAAAAUUGCAUUACUUACUAUAUUGCAUUUGACCUACUAUAUUGUGUUGCCUACUAAUUCCAGUUAGGCAUACUUAUUUUGCAUCUCCUAUUAAAAAUUAUAUUGAGCCCUAGAAUUGCAUGUGUCUGAGAAUUGCAUCUGCCCGAGAAUUUGCAUUGUGCCGAAGAAUUGCAUUGUGCUUGAAAAUGUUAGUUGUGCUUGAGAAUUUGCAUUGUGCCUGAGAUUGCAUUGUGUCUGAGAAUUUGCAUGUGCCCAAAAAUUUGCAUUGUGUCUGAGAAUUGCAUUGUACCCGAGGACUUGCAUUGUGCCCGAAAAUUGCAUGUGCC
rnacentral:lncRNA from 1 species